UACAGAGGUCCCAAGCGUUGUUCGGAUUCAUUGGGCGUAAAGGGCGCGUAGGCGGUUUGCUAAGUUGAAUGUGAAAACUCUGGGCUUAACCCAGAGCCUGCAUUCAAUACUGGCAGGCUAGAGUUCUGGAGGGGAUAGCGGAAUUCCUGGUGUAGCGGUGAAAUGCGUAGAUAUCAGGAGGAACACCGGUGGCGAAGGCGGCUAUCUGGACAGAGUCUGACGCUGAGGCGCGAAAGCUAGGGGAGCAAACAGG
rnacentral:rRNA from 1 species